GAUAAGAGAGGUCUUGGGGAGCCAGGCCCAGGGUUGGGGUCUCAGAAGGCAGUGCUGUUGGGGCAUCUGCACCAUGGCCUGGGCUCUGGUCCUCCUCAGUCUCCUCACUCAGGACACAGGGUCCUGGGCCCAGUCUGCCCUGAAUCAGCCUCCCUCAGUGUCCGGGGAUCUGGGACGCACAGUCACCAUCUCCUGUGCUGGCAGCAGCAAUGACAUUGGGAGAUAUAAUUACGUCUCCUGGUACCAACAGCUCGAAGGCACAUCCCCCAAACUCCUGAUUUAUAAUGUAAAUUCCCGGCCUUCAGGGAUCCCUGAUCGCUUCUCCGGCUCCAAGUCUGGCAACACGGCCUCCUUGACCAUUUCUGGGCUCCAGGCUGAAGAUGAGGCUGAUUAUUACUGUUGCUCAUAUGCUAAUGGUGUAUUUUGUGGGUCUGCCUCUGGCAUUGAGAGCCCCCUAGGCAUACUGAGGCACAGCAUCGAUGGCCUACCCCAGGAGCUCUCCCUCAGGAUACAGUCCUACAGAACUUCAAUAGCUCGUUGA